GAUGAAGAACGUAGCGAAAUGCGAUACGUAAUGUGAAUUGCAGAUUUCAGUGAAUCAUCGAAUCUUUGAACGCACAUUGCGCCCGCCAGUAUUCUGGCGGGCAUGCCUGUUCGAGCGUCAUUACAACCCUCAGGCCCCCGGGCCUGGCGUUGGGGAUCGGCGGAGCCCCCCGUGGGCACACGCCGUCCCCCAAAUACAGUGGCGGUCCCGCCGCAGCUUCCAUCGCGUAGUAGCUAACACCUCGCGACUGGAGAGCGGCGCGGCCACGCCGUAAAACACCCAACUCUUCUGAAGUUGACCUCGAAUCAGGUAGGAAUACCCGCUGAACUUAAGCAUAUCAAUAAGCGGAGGA
rnacentral:misc_RNA from 1 species